AUUGAACGCUGGCGGCAGGCCUAACACAUGCAAGUCGAACGAGUGGCGGACGGGUGAGUAAUGUCUGGGAAACUGCCUGAUGGAGGGGGAUAACUACUGGAAACGGUAGCUAAUACCGCAUACCAUCAGAUGUGCCCAGAUGGGCUUCGCUUGUUGGUGGGGUAACGGCUCUCCAAGGCGACGAUCCCUAGCUGGUCUGAGAGGCUGACCAGCCACACUGGAACUGAGACACGGUCCAGAGGCCUACGGGAGGCAGCAGUGGGGAAUAUUGGACAAUGGGCGAAAGCCUGAUCCAGCCAUGCCGCGUGGGUGAAGAAGGUCUUCGGGUUGUAAAGCACUUUAAGUUGGGAGGCGUUACCAACAGAAUAAGCACCGGCUAACUUCGUGCCAGCAGCCGCGGUAAUAC
rnacentral:rRNA from 1 species